AUAUAAUUGUUGAUCACAAUAAAUAAAGGCUCACCACAACCACAGCCGUGAGGAUGUCCACGAAAACCUGACGGUGGUGACAAAAACCUACCCUUUCACAUGAUAUGCAUGAGUUGUUCACAUUAGCCAUCUUGUUUCCCCUCUAUUGCUAGCUACUUCAGACCUCUUCUUAAAAAGUAUACAUUUAUGUCAUAAUCUAAUCUAAUAUUUUUUUAUACAAAAGAGACGGUGUUGACAUGUUAUGGUGGCAACAGUAGCAGUGUCCAAAAAUAUGAACAAGUUUAAGAGAAAAUAGCAAACUUAAGGGAGCGUCAGUGAUCUUGAAGCAUGCAGUGAGCUGAAGGUUUGAGAAUGGGGUCCUCAGGAAUGUAGUUGACCUUGUAGUUGCCUGAUUUUAUUGCUUUUUAUAAGUAUCUGACGGUGGUGACGAAUAUGUGGGACACAUUUUGAAUAACCACAAAAUAAUAGUAAAUAUUGUUAAAAACUCACUGUUCGUAGUUUUUAAAACAUAUUACUAUGUACUAUUUCAUGUGGUAAA